rnacentral:pre_miRNA from 1 species
CACUUGCGUGUGUGUGCAUGUGUGUGUGCAGGUGCAUGUGUGUGCACACGUGUGUGGGUGUGUGCAUGUGUGUGUACACGUGUGUGUGCGUGUGUACAUGUGUGUAUGUGAGUAU